rnacentral:tRNA from 1 species
GCCCGCCUAGCUCAAUCGGAUAGAGCGUCAGACUCUUAUGGCGGAUGCUUAGUCGCAUCAUGGCUGCGAUCUGAAGGCUGCGAGUUCGACCCUCGCGGUGGGCU